rnacentral:piRNA from 1 species
UGAAGGUCUGUAUAGAUAUUACUGGGA